rnacentral:rRNA from 1 species
UACGAGGGGAGCAAGCGUUGUUCGGAUUUACUGGGCGUAAAGGGCGCGUAGGCGGCGUGACUAGUCACUUGUGAAAUCUCCGGGCUUAACUCGGGACGGUCAAGUGAUACUGUCGUGCUAGAGUACAGAAGGGGCAACUGGAAUUCUCGGUGUAGCGGUGAAAUGCGUAGAUAUCGAGAGGAACACCUGCGGCGAAGGCGG